AUGGAGAAUGUCACAAGGAGACCGUGCCACACGCAGAGAAACGCUGCUGGUUGCCAUAAGCUCGUCUAUGUCAGGCUUUCCGUGGUGCAAAGGGCAGAUCCUGGUGCAGUCACUGUGUCCUCCGUGGCCUUCCUGCAUGGAACCCUCCAGGCUGCGGGUACCGAGAGCGGCUGGGCAGUGUCAGAGCCCGUUUGCUGUGUGAAGCUGCUGCCACACGGGACAAGAGAAAAGCUCUGUGUGUUUCUGAAGUGCUGUAACUGCCCAAAACACAUAUUCCCAAUAUCCAAGAGGAAUUCAAACCUGUUGCCAAACUGCUUUUCUCAGCUGUUUUUUGUGAUGUGUAUGAAUGUGGAGGAAGCACCAAAAACCACUGAAACAAGCAGUGGUGGAGGCAGGUAUGAAAGACACUUGGUUAAAAUGCAAGUGCAUGGUGUUUUGCAAAAGCUUCGAUUAGUUUAAUUGUUCCUGUUGAAUUAAUGCAAUCCUACAUUUCAAUAAGCUCCUGAGGUAUGACUCUUAAACUAAUUUUCUUAGGAGAGUAUCAAAGUCUGGCUGACUGUUCUUUCUAACUCUAGACAGUGCUGAAAGGGACAAUGCAAAAUCAUCUCAGCUGGUUUGAUGUAAACCACCACAGUCUAAAUCAAGCAAAGGCACUGUCAGCUUGCUCUCCUGCACAUGCUAAACCAGUCUUAGUGGGAAACUGUCCUAGAGCCAGCUUGCCUUGCCUAGUUAGAGCAUGUUUUAGUGCUCAGACACACGAUCAUUAGGGGAUCACACCAGCCAAACAUCUUCACGUUGCCUUUAAUCAGUGGCAAAGGAAGAUGUUUUCUGGUAUGCAAUUUGACUCUUAUUCUGUCACAGAUCUUAUUCUGUUACAAUUCUGGGAGCUAGUUUUGAGAGAAGAAGCCCCCAGAAGCAAGCAUUGGUCAUGAUUGAAGGAAUAUGUGUGUGCCAACCCGGCUCAUCUCAUCAAGUUGUUAUAAGUGUGAAAAUCACUGCAACAAAACCAUGGAGCUGCAUUAAUGUCAGCAGCAGGGGAAAGCUGGCAGUGCAGUAAAGGAAAAAGAGUGUGCCAACACUUGGGAGCCUCAAAAUCUUCAUCUAGUGGGCAAGACCUUUGAGCGUCAUUCCUCUUUUGAGUAUAUAACACACACAGGGACUUGUGUUCCCUUCACUGAAGGCUAAUACUAGCCCAGUGGGCUUCCCCUGCAGAAAACCUAUCUAGUGUGUUAUCAUGGAGAUGGGAAGGUUAAGGUUGUCCUGUGUGCCAUAUACAAGGCAGCUCUGCAAGGGCAGAGUGCAUUACAGGCCCUGUGCAGGCAGCAGCAUCUUAAAAUAUACUCUCAGAUUAUGAAGCACACAGAGAUGUAUGUUCCUUUGAGGUCAUCUCUCAAACUGAUAGAAAACCAGUGUAUUUAGUUCAAACGAAUGGCAUUUGGGUACAUGCUAUAGCCUAAAUCCAGACUCAAGAUCCCCAAGGAAAAUCUGGAAUAAUCCAGUUGAAGGGCUGUAUAUUUGAUAUGGAGCCUCCCGCUGGUGUGUGGCCUUGCCUGUGCUCUCACAGGAAAGAAUGCCUCCAGCGGGAUGAACCAAGGAAUGCCUCCAGUGGGAUGAACCAAGGAAUGCCUCCAGUGGGAUGAACCAAGGAAUUCCUCCAGCAGGAUGAACCAGGAGUGCCUCCAGUGGGAUGAACCAAGGAAUUCCUCCAGUGGGAUGAACCAAGGAGUGCCUACAGCAGGAUGAACCAAGGAGUGCCUCCAGGGGGGUGAACCAAGGAAUGCCUCCAGCAGGAUGAACCAAGGAGUGCCUCCAGUGGGAUGAACCAGCUGUGGCAGGUAUCACCCUGGUUUACAUGGCCUGACCCCAGCUGAAGAUCAGGCUCUACGUGACUUGGGAACACACCACAUUUUUUUUCCAUAGCACAGCAGCAACUGCUGUGUGCUGUAUUUUGAGGGGUGAGUUGAAAGGAUUGCUGUCGACAAGCAGCAUUGCAUGGGGAGCAUUCCCCUGCUGUGAUGUGGAGGGACUUAGGUGUGUAACUCCUUACGCAGCUGCAUAGUAGAUACAAUAAACUGGUUUUGCAUCAGUCCCUAAUACUUUAU
ensembl:lncRNA